GGGUCAGUAGGUUGGUCGUGCCACCGGUACGUACUGGUCUCACUGACUCCUCCUUCCUGAAGAACCGUAAUGCCAUUAAUUUGGUGUUGCGGGGAAACAGGACUGUUACUUUGAAAAAAUUAGAGUGUUUAAAGCAAGCUAACGCUUGAAUACAUUAGCAUGGAGUAAUGAAAUAGGACGAUCGAUCCUAUUUUGUUGGUUUCUAGGAUUGACGUA
rnacentral:rRNA from 1 species